rnacentral:rRNA from 1 species
AUUGAACGCUGGCGGCAUGCCUAACACAUGCAAGUCGAACGGCAGCACGGCAGUAGCAAUACUGUGGGUGGCGAGUGGCGGACGGGUGAGGAAUACGUCGGAAUCUGCCCAGUCGUGGGGGAUAACUAGCCGAAAGGUUAGCUAAUACCGCAUACGACCGAGAGGUGAAAGCGGGGGACCGCAAGGCCUCGCGCGAUUGGAUGAGCCGACGUCGGAUUAGCUAGUUGGUGGGGUAAAGGCCCACCAAGGCGACGAUCCGUAGCUGGUCUGAGAGGAUGAUCAGCCACACUGGAACUGAGACACGGUCCAGACUCCUACGGGAGGCAGCAGUGGGGAAUAUUGGACAAUGGGCGCAAGCCUGAUCCAGCAAUGCCGCGUGUGUGAAGAAGGCCUC